GUGCUUCAGCAAUCACUUCCAGGUACAACGGCGUGAUAGAUGGUUUGCCGAAAGGAUGGUGAGGAGUUUUCAGUGAUUCAGAAACGGCGUUAAACCUUGAUUGUAUCUAUGCUCCGGUUCAAUGUGUUAGUCGCUUGGAUUCUGCAAGGGGAAGCAGAACCAUGUGGUCGAUCCUUGGGCAACAAGAGGCUUCAUCCACACAUGAUGAUGUGAGCUCUGAAGACGGGUUGGAACCAGCCUGCAGUGCGUCCGUGUGGACGGAAGCAUUGCCCUUUCGUUGCCUGUGUGUUAUAGUACGAGGUUGUUCAGUUUUUCUCACGUUUUAUUAAAUACUCUUGCUAUGUGUAGGGUUACCUGUUGACUCCAUGUUCGAGAGGACAGUUCAGGCUUUUGAACUCCUCGCAAUGCAUUUUGAUUACCUGCCUAGGGUACCUUUCACAGCAAGACUACACUUAUCAGAAUGCAUUGCGAUGUGAGUUGACACGCCUGAAUUGUCCUCGUGUAGUCCUGUGGUAACCCUAGCUAUUUAUAACAUGUAAUACAAUGUAAAUACAUAUUUAAGUUUUAUACAGAAGCUUGUAGGAUUUGUUGUAUGUUUGUUUACCACGGACUUGCGCCACACUACGUGAAGUGCGUUCAGUAUAGUUCUGGAAAUAAAUGUAUUGAGGCAAAUAGACAAA